CCUACGGGGAGCAGCAGUCGAGAAUCAUUCACAAUGGGGGAAACCCUGAUGGUGCGACGCCGCGUGGGGGAAUGAAGGUCUUCGGAUUGUAAACCCCUGUCAUGUGGGAGCAAAUUAAAAAGAUAGUACCACAAGAGGAAGAGACGGCUAACUCUGUGCCAGCAGCCGCGGUAAUACAGAGGUCUCAAGCGUUGUUCGGAAUCACUGGGCGUAAAGCGUGCGUAGGCUGUUUCGUAAGUCGUGUGUGAAAGGCGCGGGCUCAACCCGCGGACGGCACAUGAUACUGCGAGACGAGAGUAAGGGAGGGGGAACCGGAAGUCUCGGUGUAGCAGUGAAAUGCGUAGAUAUCGAGAGGAACACUCGUGGCGAAGGCGGGUUCCUGGACAUUAACUGACGCUGAGGCACGAAGGCCAGGGGAGCGAAAGGGAUUAGAUACCCCGGUAGUC
rnacentral:rRNA from 1 species